GUCGGGAUGGCCGAGUGGUUAUGGCGUGUGACUCAAGCGAUUGAAUAAGAGCUUCCUUACACUUGUAAGGCGCAUUCUCAUGGGCUUUGCCCGCGGGGGUUCGAAUCCCCCUUCCGACA